UCUUAGAACCCUGCCUACUGCAGGUUUCAAUAAUAAGAUUCUUUUCUUCUCACAAGAAGGAUUUGGAAGACGUGUGUUCCGGAACUGCUGCAAGCUUGAGAAGCUUGUCUCAUACCUGGAAUGAAGCCCUAAGGAAUGCUGAGCCCGGGUGACAUUUCUGUUUCUUCUAGUACAUGGCAACGACAAUGUCCUUUCUUCAGAAACGUACUGGGAAGUUCAAUAUAGAAGAUACCUAAGUGGCAUUACUCUGGCUGAAGUAAGAUUGAGGAUUGCAGAGUCCUGCUUCCCCAGCCUGCCUCUGCCCCUCCGCCCGCCCCCACCAACAAGCCUCUCAAACUCGGCGAAGAU